AUCCAACUGACGAGUCCCAAAUAGGACUAAAAGUAGGUCCUGCAU
rnacentral:hammerhead_ribozyme from 1 species